UACGUAGGGGGCAAGCGUUGUCCGGAUUUAUUGGGCGUAAAGAGCGUGUAGGCGGCUUGGAAGGUCAGCUGUGAAAACUCGAGGCUCAACCUCGAGACGUCGGUUGAAACCACCUGGCUAGAGUCCGGAAGAGGAGAGUGGAAUUCCCGGUGUAGCGGUGAAAUGCGCAGAUAUCAGGAAGAACACCCGUGGCUAAGGCGGCUCUCUAGUACGGUACUGACGCUGAGACGCGAAAGCGUGGGGAGCAAACAGG
rnacentral:rRNA from 1 species